UACGUAGGUGGCAAGCGUUGUCCGGAAUUAUUGGGCGUAAAGCGCUCGCAGGCGGUUUCUUAAGUCUGAUGUGAAAGCCCACGGCUCAACCGUGGAGGGUCAUUGGAAACUGGGGAACUUGAGUGCAGAAGAGGAGAGUGGAAUUCCACGUGUAGCGGUGAAAUGCGUAGAGAUGUGGAGGAACACCAGUGGCGAAGGCGACUCUCUGGUCUGUAACUGACGCUGAGGAGAGAAAGCGUGGGGAGCGAACAGG
rnacentral:rRNA from 1 species